UAGUAAAAUGGUAGCAAAAUAGGGAGAAAAUAAUAAAAAAUAAUAUUAAAAAAAUUAUCCUUUAGUGAAUUCAAGCCAGCUUGGAUGAAAAAUGUCUUACUCGAGGCCCGACCCAUUUUUAGACGGGCUUUAAUUUUUGUCCAAGCCCAUUUUUUAGACAUAUAUUUUUGCCCAAACCCUCUUACAUUUCGAAUAGGCUUUCGGGCCGGGCCAAGUGGCCCCACCCAUGAACAGGCCUACUAAGUGCUCUCUCUCAAUAUCCUACAUAAAUCAAUGGAAAGUUUUUUUAAAUGAACUCUAAGAUGUUGCUAAUAAUCAUGACCGAUUUAGCAAACCCUUUAAUGAAUAGAAGAUUAACAGAAAAAUUGAAAUGAGUAGGUUGCAGCUAUUGCAUUUGGGAUGAUGCUCAAAUACCCCAUGAAUUCCAGCCAUAUUCAAGACACUUAAGAGUACACUCAUCCCUAAAUAUGAUUAGGUAUGGAAAAAUGGCCCCCCUCUCAAACUCUUUUGCACCAUACCAGACCCCAUUUCUAGCCACCGAUUAUCCAGUUCUUGAAUCGACGAGGGAAUCCAACAACUCUCAGAACUUGGAUAAUGAAAUUCCAAAUGUCUUUCUAAGGUACAUCCAUGAACCAACUCCCGAGCCAGUAGCAAAUUAUCCACAAGUUCCUUCCAUUAAAGCACUUUGGCUAUUAGAGAUAAGGCUGCGUAGACACUUGAUUGUUUUAUUGGAGGAGGCUACCAUAUUUCCAAUGGCAAAAAAACAUAGAAUGAUUUCCACUACAUCUCCUCCAAAAAUGCUAUAGGAGGCUUGGAAGAAUCUGGUUGGGUAUGCAUCAAGGCUAGGGGCCUUGUUUCCAUUCAUAGAGAAUAUGGUUGACUUAUAAUCUCCUCUGUUGUAAAACAAGAACAAUCAAGUUUGAUAUUUCGUACGUACCACUUGAUCAGCACUCUAUCCAGCUAUCUUGAAAGAGGCUCAUAAAUGAUAUUUCCUACUUGAAUAUAUAUUAAACAAAUGCUUCAGAUAUUUUAUAUCAUGGACAACAAUUCCAACAAGUAAACUUCAAAUUUAAUUAGCAAAAGCCAUUGC
rnacentral:lncRNA from 1 species